CUGGAAAACUUGAGUGCACAAGACGAAAGUGGAAUUCCAUGUGUAGCGGUGAAAUGCUCAGAUAUAUGGAGGAACUCCAGUGGCGAAGGCGACUUUCUGGACUGUAACUGACGCUGAUGUGCGAAAGCGUGGGGAUCAAACAGGAUUAGAUACCCUGGUAGUCCACGCCGUAAACGAUGAAUGCUAAGUGUUAGGGGGUGUCCGCCCCUUAUAGCUGCAAGUAACGCAUUAACCACUCCGGCUGGGGAGCACGACCGGAAGGAUUAAACUGAAAUGAAUUGACGCCGACCCGGACGAGGGGCGUGGGGUGUGAUUUAAUUCUAAGCGACGAAACUAACCUUACCUUGUCUUGACAUCCUUUGAUUCUUAUAUAGAUAUG
rnacentral:rRNA from 1 species